rnacentral:rRNA from 1 species
GUGACGGAGAAGGCUAGGCCAUCCGGGCGUUGGUUGUCCCGGUUCAAGCGUGUAGGCAGAUCUCUUAGGUAAAUCCGGGGGGUUGUUAAUGCUGAGGCGUGAUGACGGUGGAUCUACGGAUCCCGAAGUGGUUGAUGCCCGGCUUCCAAGAAAAGCUUCUAAGCAUCAGGUUAUGACUGACCGUACCCCAAACCGACACAGGUGGUCAGGUAGAGAAUACCAAGGCGCUUGAGAGAAC